rnacentral:lncRNA from 10 species
CUUUGAUCCAUCUGGAAUUUAUUUCUUGUAUAAGAAGUGAGACAUAUUUUGGGGGAUAAAAUUGUGUGUGAAUUCUACCCCAACUAGCUAGUUGUGUCAGCACCAUUUAGUGAAUAAUCUGUUUUUUGCCCCACUAUUAGAAUUGCAGCUUUUGUCAUUUACUAAAUGUGUUUGGGACUAUUUCUGAUUGGUCUUGUUAUUUUGGUCUCUUGUGUAUUACCAUACACUUUAAAUUACUAUCAUUUUAUAAUUUUAAUACAGAUGGGGUUAGUUACCUGUUCAUUACUCUUUUUUUCAGACUUUGACAAUUCUGGUCUAUGUGUUCUUCUAGAUGAACUUUAGAAUCAUUCUGUGACAUUCAAAAAGAAAUCAUAGAGAUUUUUAUUGAAUACUGAAUAUUGAUUGGGAAUACUGAAAUUGUAGGUGAAGUUUGGGGAAAUUGACAUCUUUAUGUACUUUCUGUCCUGUGUUCUAAUAGAUUUUUAUCUCUCAAUAGAUUUUCAAACUUUGCUUUAAAUGAGUCCUGUACAAAUAAGUCUUGUAUAUUUCUUGUUUAUUUAUUUUAAAAAACAUCAGACCCAUGAAUGGGAGUUUGUUUGUUUAUUUUAUUGAACAAAUAUUAUAGAGAAUCAAACAGGUAGUUUUUAU